rnacentral:rRNA from 1 species
GAUGAACGCUGGCGGCGUGCCUAAUACAUGCAAGUCGAGCGAACAGACGAGGAGCUUGCUCCUUUGACGUUAGCGGCGGACGGGUGAGUAACACGUGGAUAACCUACCUAUAAGACUGGGAUAACUUCGGGAAACCGGAGCUAAUACCGGAUAACAUUUUGAACCGCAUGGUUCAACAGUGAAAGACGGUCUUGCUGUCACUUAUAGAUGGAUCCGCGCCGCAUUAGCUAGUUGGUAAGGUAACGGCUUACCAAGGCAACGAUGCAUAGCCGACCUGAGAGGGUGAUCGGCCACACUGGAACUGAGACACGGUCCAGACUCCUACGGGAGGCAGCAGUAGGGAAUCUUCCGCAAUGGGCGAAAGCCUGACGGAGCAACGCCGCGUGAGUGAAGAAGGUCUUCGGAUCGUAAAACUCUGUUAUUAGGGAAGAACAAAUGUGUAAGUAACUAUGCACGUCUUGACGGUACCUAAUCAGAAAGCCACGGCUAACUACGUG